rnacentral:rRNA from 1 species
UACAGAGGUCCCAAGCGUUGUUCGGAUUCAUUGGGCGUAAAGGGUGCGUAGGCGGCGCGGGAAGUCGGGUGUGAAAUCUCGGAGCUUAACUCCGAAACUGCAUUCGAUACUGCCGUGCUUGAGGACUGGAGAGGAGACUGGAAUUUACGGUGUAGCGGUGAAAUGCGUAGAUAUCGUAAGGAAGACCAGUGGCGAAGGCGGGUCUCUGGACAGUUCCUGACGCUGAG